rnacentral:tRNA from 1 species
AGAGAGGUGCUAGAGCGGCUGAAUAGGCUACCCUGGAAAGGUAGUAUACUGGUAACGGUAUCAAGGGUUCGAAUCCCUUUCUCUCUGCAA